rnacentral:sRNA from 1 species
AAAAAAAGCCUUUUGUGCCAGUUUCAGACUGAAAAUGUGCAUUUCCCAGAUGACCAAGUGAACAGGAUUCAAGUCAGUAAUAACACUCAACGUAGCCACAUGUCAAUGCAGAUUCCCACUAGGUAACUUCAGAAGCUUCUGUGCAGGCCUGUCUUCAGCCUCUGCUUUCCAUUCAUAAAUUGUGUUCAUUCAAUCAGCAGACAGUAUGAAAUAUAGGCAAUGGGUAGGCACUCAAGGAA